CUUUCCCUUACAGGGGUCUGGAAGGGUGUAUUAUUCCCACUGGUUAAAUUUGAGUCUGGUUAACUGUCUUUCUUUUUAUAACUUUUAUUAAAGUAUUUUCAAACAAACGC